GACGAACGCUGGCGGCGUGCUUAACACAUGCAAGUCGAACGGAAAGGCCCUUCGGGGUACUCGAGUGGCGAACGGGUGAGUAACACGUGGGUGAUCUGCCCUGCACUUUGGGAUAAGCCUGGGAAACUGGGUCUAAUACCGAAUAGGACCACGCGCUUCAUGGUGUGUGGUGGAAAGCUUUUGCGGUGUGGGAUGGGCCCGCGGCCUAUCAGCUUGUUGGUGGGGUAAUGGCCUACCAAGGCGACGACGGGUAGCCGGCCUGAGAGGGUGACCGGCCACACUGGGACUGAGAUACGGCCCAGACUCCUACGGGAGGCAGCAGUGGGGAAUAUUGCACAUUGGGCGCAAGCCUGAUGCAGCGACGCCGCGUGAGGGAUGACGGCCUUCGGGUUGUAAACCUCUUUCAAUAGGGACGAAGCGCAAGUGACGGUACCUAUAGAAGAAGCACCGGCCAACUACGUG
rnacentral:rRNA from 1 species